GGGAGCAAUCCUGGUGGCGAGUGGCGAACGGGUGAGUAAUAUAUCGGAACGUGCCCAGUCGUGGGGGAUAACGCAGCGAAAGCUGUGCUAAUACCGCAUACGAUCUACGGAUGAAAGCGGGGGAUCGCAAGACCUCGCGCGAUUGGAGCGGCCGAUAUCAGAUUAGCUAGUUGGUGGGGUAAAGGCCCACCAAGGCGACGAUCUGUAGCUGGUCUGAGAGGACGACCAGCCACACUGGAACUGAGACACGGUCCAGACUCCUACGGGAGGCAGCAGUGGGGAAUUUUGGACAAUGGGCGCAAGCCUGAUCCAGCAAUGCCGCGUGCAGGAUGAAGGCCUUCGGGUUGUAAACUGCUUUUGUACGGAACGAAACGGUCUGCCCUAAUACGGUGGGCUAAUGACGGUACCGUAAGAAUAAGCACCGGCUAACUACGUGCCAGCAGCCGCGGUAAUACGUAGGGUGCGAGCGUUAAUCGGAAUUACUGGGCGUAAAGCGUGCGCAGGCGGUUAUAUAAGACAGAUGUGAAAUCCCCGGGCUUAACCUGGGACCUGCAUUUGUGACUGUAUAGCUAGAGUACGGUAGAGGGGGAUGGAAUUCCGCGUGUAGCAGUGAAAUGCGUAGAUAUGCGGAGGAACACCGAUGGCGAAGGCAAUCCCCUGGACCUGUACUGACGCUCAUGCACGAAAGCGUGGGGAGCAAACAGGAUUAGAUACCCUGGUAGUCCACGCCCUAAACGAUGUCAACUGGUUGUUGGGUCUUCACUGACUCAGUAACGAAGCUAACGCGUGAAGUUGA
rnacentral:rRNA from 1 species